CUCUCUAUCUCUCCGCCAAUUAUUUUGCUUUCUUCUUUCAUCUGUUCUCUCUAACCUGCUCUAUUUUCUUUUCUUUCAGCGAUCUGGAUAUAUUUAAACUUGUUACCCUCAUACAUAUAAAUGGAAAAUUAAAUAAUCUCUGGUGUGAAUAUUUCGAUUUUGAUUAUAAUAUUGAAAGAAUGAGUGUGAUUUUCUCCUCCGCCCAACCUAUUCAGAUAAUCACUGGACAGUUGAAUUGUGGACUUAUCUUAGAAAUUCUUAUUUAAAUCUAAUUAUUUAUUUUGCUGAUUAGAAUAACUACUUUAUUGAAACUAAUUCUUUAACUUGUCCGGGGCAAAGGGGCCAAUGUUGGCCGCAUAAGCCAUCAGAGCGGGUAUUGUCGAUUGCUCGUAGUUUCCGGAGAAGAAGUGCUCAUGGGGACCCGAGGCAAAGACGCCCACAUCCUCGCCGCCGUGAGUCUCAGUUUUGAGAGGAACUGUGGCUUGGAACUGGAAGUCAGCAUCCUUGGUAUUCGUAUGCGACAGGUCCACGCGGCCGUUCUCAUCGUAGGUAUUCACAAAACCCGGUCCAUUGGCAUAAGAGAGUAUAGUGAAGGGCAGCUCAUCUUCGGCCUGAUUGGGAGCCAGUGAAAGUAUAUUCUGACGACGAUACUGCAAAGUAUUCGGAACAUUAGAAGGGAACUCAAAAAAGCGAGAGCAUAAGAAGACACCUACAGGAUAGCCAUUGAUAGUCAUGGUGUGCGAGUGAUCCGAGGUGACAACAAUGAGCGUGUCCUCCUCAGAGGUGAGACUGCGUGCCAGCUCAACAGCGCGUGCAAACUCUUCGGUGUCCUCGAGAGCCUUUUGUGCCUUCGUCGCGUGGUGGGCCAUGUCAAUGCGUGCGCCCUCCACAAAGAGAAAGUAGCCCUGUUCGUUGCGACUCAGCACCUUGAUGGCCGCCUCUGUCAUCUCGGAGAGCGAGGGCUCCAGGUAAUCCAUGUGCUGGCGCAUGCGAUCGCCAUGGUAGGGGCAGUGGCUGACAUCGAAUAG